UGAACUGGCCAAAGGGAUAUUCCAUGCUACAGAAUGUAAUGACCAGUGUAUGAACUGGGGGUAUUGACUGGGAGCUGCUUGUUGAGGGACAAGAUGAGCAUCAGUGAGUGAGGGGCAAUGGAAAAGGAGCCCAGAAAACAAUUUGUUUAUUAUAAGCAGGUCAGUCCUCGAGGGGACUCAUGGAAUCACGCAGUGGGAGAGGACAAUCAUGGCACUGAAAUGAGAUGUGGGGAGAACAAAAGAAGAAGGGUCAUGAAUGAGCGCUUAUGUUUUUGUACCCAAAAUGGUGAGUGCGUCAGAAGAAGAAAACAUUGGUUUGGAUGACAUUCUUGAAGAACUGAAAAGAUAAGUGAAGAGGAAUCAGAUGACCAAACUGCCAAACAUGUAAAACCAACAUCAUUAUGCACUUGUUAAUUCUUUUUUUUUAAUCUCUAGUCUGGUUUGGCUGAGGCACCCUUAUGAUGUAAUCUGCAACUGGACAGGGCAAUUCUUGCUGUCCCUGUAAAACACAGUCCCACACUCCACACCUUCAAGGUUCCUGAGGACUUU